GAACGCUGGCGGCAUGCUUUACACAUGCAAGUCGAACGGUAACGCGGGGGCAACCCUGGCGACGAGUGGCGAACGGGUGAGUAAUACAUCGGAACAUGUCCUGGAGUGGGGGAUAGCUCGGCGAAAGCCGGAUUAAUACCGCAUACGCUCUGAGGAGGAAAGCGGGGGACCCGUAAGGGCCUCGCGCUGCAGGAGUGGCCGAUGUCGGAUUAGCUAGUUGGUGAGGUAAAGGCUCACCAAGGCGACGAUCCGUAGCUGGUCUGAGAGGAUGAUCAGCCACACUGGGACUGAGACACGGCCCAGACUCCUACGGGAGGCAGCAGUGGGGAAUUUUGGACGAUGGGGGCAACCCUGAUCCAGCCAUGCCGCGUGAGUGAAGAAGGCCUUCGGGUUGUAAAGCUCUUUCGGACGGAACGGGUGGGGCUAAUAUCCUCACCUAAUGACGGUACCUGAAGAAUAAGCACCGGCUAACUACGUGCCAGCAGCCGCGGUAAUACGUAGGGUGCAAGCGUUAAUCGGAAUUACUGGGCGUAAAGCGUGCGCAGGCGGUUUUGUAAGUCUGUCGUGAAAUCCCCGGGCUCAACCUGGGAAUGGCGAUGGAGACUGCAAGGCUAGAGUUUGGCAGAGGGGGGUAGAAUUCCACGUGUAGCAGUGAAAUGCGUAGAUAUGUGGAGGAACACCGAUGGCGAAGGCAGCCCCCUGGGUCAAAACUGACGCUCAUGUACGAAAGCGUGGGGAGCAAACAGG
rnacentral:rRNA from 1 species